UCAAGGAAGAAAGGGUGUGCGGUGGAUGCCUGGGCGCGGGCAGGCGAUGAAGGGCGUGGCAGGCUGCGAUAAGCCCGGGGGAGCCGCCUGCAGGCGUCGAUCCCGGGAUGCCCGAAUGGGGAAACCCGAUGGCCGGAAUGGGCCAUCAUCCCGGGCUGAAUCCAUAGGCCCGGGAGGCGAACCGGGGGAAGUGAACCAUCUCAGUACCCCGAGGAAGAGAAAGCAACCGCGAUGCCCUCAGUAGCGGCGAGCGAACGGGGCCCAGCCUAAACCGUCUCGGUGUCCAAGCGCAGGGGCGUUGCCGGGGCGGGGUCGUGGGGCCCAGUCGGGCGGAGCCCUGCCUCCGCCAGGGAGUCACAAAACCGUGCCUUAGCCGAAGUGGUCUGGAAAGGCCCGCCACAGAGGGUGAUAGCCCCGUAGGCGAAAGGGCGACGGUCUCCCGGGACUGGGUGCCCGAGUACCGCGGGACACGUGGAAUCCUGCGGGAAGCCGGGAGGACCACCUCCCAAGGCUAAACACUCGCCCGCGACCGAUAGCGCACCAGUACCGUGAGGGAAAGGUGAAAAGAACCCCGGCGAGGGGAGUGAAAGAGAACCUGAAACCGCACACCUACAAGCAGUGGAAGGCGGGACGCCGUCCCGCUGACCGCGUGCCUUUUGCAAAAUGAGCCGGCUAGUUACGGUCCGCAGCGAGGCGAACCCCCGAGGGGAGCCGUAGCGAAAGCGAGUCCGAACAGGGCGUUCAGUUGCGGGCCGUAGACGCGAAGCCGAGCGAUCUAUCCCUGCCCAGGGUGAAGUCCGGCUAACACCGGAUGGAGGCCCGAACCGGUGAAGGAGGAAAACUUCUCGGAUGAGGUGGGGAUAGGAGUGAAAGGCUAAUCAAGCUCGGUGAUAGCUCGUUCUCCCCGAAAUCGCUUUCAGGCGAGCCUCCCGGCGUGGGUCCCGGCGGUAGAGCACUGGAUGGGCCAGGGGGCCGAAAGGCCUCUCAUGUCCAACCAAACUCCGAAUGCCGGGACGCCGGACCGGGGGAGUCAGACCGCGGGGGAUAAGCUCCGUGGUCGAGAGGGGAAUAGCCCAGACCGCCCGCUAAGGCCCCGAAACCCAGGCUUAGUGGGGAAGGAGGUCGGGUCGCGAAGACAGCCAGGAGGUAGGCUUAGAAGCAGCCACCCUUUAAAGAAAGCGUAAUAGCUCACUGGUCGAGCGACCCGGCGCCGAAAAUAUAACGGGGCUCAAGCCUGGUGCCGAAGCGGCGGGUGCGCCCGGACUUCGGUCCGGACGCGCGGUAGGGGAGCGUUCCCAGUCGGUCGAAGUGGCCGCGUGAGCGUGCCAUGGACGGCUGGGAAGUGACUCUGCCGGCAUGAGUAGCGAUAAGGGUGGUGGAAACCCACCCCGCCGAAAGCCCAAGGUUUCCUGGGGAAGGUCAGUCCGCCCAGGGUUAGGCGGCCCCUAAGGUGAGGCCGAAAGGCGUAGCCGAAGGGCAGUGGGUCAACAUUCCCACCCCACCUCGGGUGCAUGGGCGAAGGGGGGACGCAGGAGGGUAGGCCGUCCGUCCCGACGGAAUGGGGCGGUCGCGGGUGUCGCGGUGCCCUCAGGCAAAUCCGGGGGCUGGGACUUCGAGUCCGGCCGCCAGGCUCGCGAGGCGGGGCGGCCUUCGGGCCUAACUGAACCGGCCGAACCCACACUGCCAAGAAAAGCCUCGUCGCUCCGUGCUCGGGGUGACCGUACCGUAAACCGACACAGGUAGGCGGGGUGAGAAUCCUCAGGCGCACGGGUGAAACCCCGCUAAGGAACUCGGCAAAUUGACCCCGUAACUUCGGGAGAAGGGGUGCCUCGCGUAGGGUGAGGACCCUCGCGGUCCGAGCCCGAGGAGGUCGCAGUGAAAGGGCCCUGGCGACUGUUUAUCAAAAACACAAGGCUCUGCCAACUCGCAAGAGGCGGUAUAGGGCCUGACGCCUGCCCGGUGCCGGAAGGUUAAGGGGACGGGUUAGCCGGUGCCUCCGGGCGCCGGCGAGGCUCGGAACCGAAGCCCCGGUAAACGGCGGCCGUAACUAUGACG
rnacentral:rRNA from 1 species